GGCCUAACACAUGCAAGUCGAACGAGAUUAAGGGGCUUGCUCCUUAUGAAAGUGGCGCACGGGUGCGUAACGCGUAUGCAACCUACCUCAAUCAGGGGGAUAGCCCGAAGAAAUUCGGAUUAACACCGCAUAAAAACACAGGAUAGCAUUAUCUAAUGUUCAAAUAUUUAUAGGAUUGAGAUGGGCAUGCGUGUCAUUAGCUAGUUGGCGGGGUAACGGCCCACCAAGGCGACGAUGACUAGGGGAUCUGAGAGGAUGACCCCCCACACUGGUACUGAGACACGGACCAGACUCCUACGGGAGGCAGCAGUAAGGAAUAUUGGUCAAUGGAGGCAACUCUGAACCAGCCAUGCCGCGUGCAGGAAGACAGCCCUCUGGGUCGUAAACUGCUUUUAUUCGGGAAUAAACCUUAUUACGUGUAAUAAGCUGAAUGUACCGAAGGAAUAAGGA
rnacentral:rRNA from 1 species